UACGUAGGUGACAAGCGUUGUCCGGAUUUACUGGGCGUAAAGAGCGCGCAGGCGGUCGUUCAAGUCGAGUGUGAAAGCCCCCGGCUCAACUGGGGAGGGUCACUCGAUACUGAUCGACUCGAAGGCAGAAGAGGGAAGCGGAAUUCCCGGUGUAGUGGUGAAAUGCGUAGAUAUCAAGAGGAACACCUGAGGUGAAGACGGGUUGCUGGGCCAACACUGACGCUGAGGCGCGAAAGCCAGGGGAGCAAACGGG
rnacentral:rRNA from 1 species